UUACUACUUGGAUACCGUGGUAUUCUAGAGCUAAUACAUGCUGAAAAUCCCGACUGCGGAAGGGAUGUAUUUAUUAGAUUAAAAAACCAAUGCCCUCUGGGCUCUCUGGUGAUUCAUGAUAACUGCGCGAAUCGCAUGUGGCCUUGCGCCGGCGAUGGUUCAUUCAAAUUUCUUCCCUAUCAACUUUCGAUGUUUGGGUAGUGACCAAACAUGGUUGCAACGGGUAACGGAGGGUUAGGGCUCGGCCCCGGAGAAGGAGCCUGAGAAACGGCUACUACAUCCAAGGAAGGCAGCAGGCGCGCAAAUUACCCAAUCCCGACACGGGGAGGUAGUGACGAAUAAAUACUGAUACAGGGCUCUUUUGGGUCUUGUAAUUGGCAUGAGUACAAUUUAAAUCCCUUAACGAGGAACAAUUGGAGGGCAAGUCUGGUGAACACGUUGCUGGUGCCAGAGAGAGCCGCCCCUCCGUAAACCGGUGCGGCUAGUCGAGUGCUCGCGUCAGUGGCGGGUGAGCACCGGCGAGACAACCUGGGUCGGGGAAAGGCUAAGGGCCCCUCGGGGCCUAUGCUGAUCCCGAGCAGAGCCGUGCUGCGCAGCCGGCCUGUGUAGAGCGCGCCAAGGUGUCGGUCCGGGGGGGUCGCCUCCCCCGGGCUUGAGGUACGUGCCAAUCCCCUGCGAAAGCAGGGCCCUGCGGACGGAGCACCCGUCAUGCGAAGCCGCCGGGGGGGCAGGCGGCCCCGCCGGGGCCCCUGCCGUGAGCCACAGUGGCCAGCAGCCGCGGUAUUCAGCUCCAUAGCGUAUAUAAGUGGUGUGGUUAAAGCUCGU
rnacentral:rRNA from 1 species